GGAUGAACGCCGGCGGCGUGCCUAAUACAUGCAAGUCGAGCGAACGGCCGAGAAGCUUGCUUCUCUGAUGUUAGCGGCGGACGGGUGAGUAACACGUGGAUAACCUACCUAUAAGACUGGGAUAACUUCGGGAAACCGGAGCUAAUACCGGAUAAUAUUUUUAACCGCAUGGUUCAAAAGUGAAAGACGGUCUUGCUGUCACUUAUAGAUGGAUCCGCGCUGCAUUAGCUAGUUGGUAAGGUAACGGCUUACCAAGGCAACGAUGCAUAGCCGACCUGAGAGGGUGAUCGGCCACACUGGAACUGAGACACGGUCCAGACUCCUACGGGAGGCAGCAGUAGGGAAUCUUCCGCAAUGGGCGAAAGCCUGACGGAGCAACGCCGCGUGAGUGAUGAAGGUCUUCGGAUCGUAAAACUCUGUUAUUAGGGAAGAACAUAUGUGUAAGUAACUGUGCACAUCUUGACGGUACCUAAUCAGAAAGCCACGGCUAACUACGUG
rnacentral:rRNA from 1 species